UAUAUAUUCCCUCCAUUCUGAAUUACUCGUCGCAGAAAUAGAUGUAUCUAGAUAUAUUUUAGUUCUAUAUACAUUCAUUUCUGUGACGAGUAAUUUGGAACGGAGGGAGUACUAU
rfam:Triticum aestivum genome assembly, contig: Triticum_aestivum_CS42_TGACv1_scaffold_002646_1AL